UUUUUGAGGUUUUCGUGGGCUGUUUUUUGGUUACUACUGCAAUCUCUUACCGGCGGGUCGGAGAUAUCGUUAUGGUUGCAGUCUGUUCAGGCUGUUCCUCGCAGGGACUCUGGAGGUUUGUUGCUGUCUCAGGAUCCAUAUUAAAAUGAUCGCUUAGAAAGGCUUUCUUUAACCGACUGGAUUUUGUACCGACCAGAUUAUAUGGAAAACCCAGUCAAUACAAGGUUUUUGGAGAGAGUUGGUAUCGAAAAGACUGAUUUUGGUCACCUGCUUCCUUAACAGAGCAUUCUCCAGAACUCCUUCAAACAAUACUUCUUCGUAGUUUGCGUACAGAUCAAUGAAAACGAUCUGAUCUGAUGAAAAAUGAUCGGCAAAAUAAU